UCUCCGUAGGUGAACCUGCGGAGGGAUCAUUACCGAGUAAGGGUUCCGGCCCGACCUCCAACCCUUUGUGAAUUCGACCCAGUUGCCUCGGGGGCGACCCGGCCUUCGGGCGUCGGGGCCCCCGGUGGACCACCCAACCCUGCAUCAUGACGUCUGAGUUUAUACAAAAAUAAAUCAAAACUUUCAACAACGGAUCUCUUGGUUCUGGCAUCGAUGAAGAACGCAGC
rnacentral:misc_RNA from 1 species